rnacentral:rRNA from 2 species
AGGACCGGAGUGGACGCAUCACUGGUGUUCGGGUUGUCAUGCCAAUGGCACUGCCCGGUAGCUAAAUGCGGAAGAGAUAAGUGCUGAAAGCAUCUAAGCACGAAACUUGCCCCGAGAUGAGUUCUCCCUGAGACUUUAAGUCUCCUGAAGGAACGUUAAAGACGAUGACGUUGAUAGGCCGGGUGUGUAAGCGCAGCGAUGCGUUGAGCUAACCGGUACUAAUGAACCGUGAGGCUUAACCUUACAACGCCGAAG